AACGAACGCUGGCGGCAGGCCUAACACAUGCAAGUCGAACGCCGUAGCAAUACGGAGUGGCAGACGGGUGAGUAACACGUGGGAACGUACCCUUCGGUUCGGAAUAACUCAGGGAAACUUGAGCUAAUACCGGAUACGUCCGUAAGGAGAAAGAUUUAUCGCCGAGGGAUCGGCCCGCGUCUGAUUAGCUUGUUGGUGAGGUAACGGCUCACCAAGGCGACGAUCAGUAGCUGGUCUGAGAGGAUGAUCAGCCACAUUGGGACUGAGACACGGCCCAAACUCCUACGGGAGGCAGCAGUGGGGAAUAUUGGACAAUGGGCGCAAGCCUGAUCCAGCCAUGCCGCGUGAGUGAUGAAGGCCUUAGGGUUGUAAAGCUCUUUUACUCGGGAAGAUAAUGACGGUACCGAGAGAAUAAGCCCCGCUAACUUCGUGCCAGCCGCCGCUGUAAU
rnacentral:rRNA from 1 species